UACAGAGGAGCCAAGCGUUGUCCGGAUUGACUGGGCGUAAAGCGCACGCAGGCGGGUGUGCGCGUGGGGGGGGAAAUCUGGCCGCUUAACGGCCAGGCGCCAUCCCAUACGGCACGCCUGGAGUGAUGCAGAGGUCGAUGGAAUUGCCGGUGUAGUGGUGAAAUGCGUAGAGAUCGGCAGGAACACCCAGGGGGAAACCAGUCGACUGGGCAUCUACUGACGCUGAGGUGCGAGAGCGUGGGGAGCGAACAGG
rnacentral:rRNA from 1 species